CUUUACGUAGGACCCAGCGCCGGUGCCGCCAUCUCUUCUUUGGGCAACGUCAAAUUAGGACGCAAAUAAAACCAAUGAAAAAGCGAAACGGAGACAUAGAGACAACGAAUUUAUAUUGGAUCAUACUCCAUUAUAUAGAAAGCAACCCAAAACCUGGAGAGAUGAAGGGACUUACUCAAGGUCAUAGCUUUCCGCCAAGUUGCCUAAGAACAACAGUUGACUAGAACUGCACGUCUUCAAAUACUGUCUACUGCAGGAUGGAAACAGGAACCUCUGGGAAUAUCUGUGAGUCAUAGAAUGUUGUAAAGAACUUUCCAAAGACAUUUUCUUGCUAGGAUGGAGAGUUCUAAUCUCAUAUUGGCAGGCUCAAUUGGCAACAAGGUAUACUGUUUACUUUGAUUCCUUCUCAGCUGUCUUGCAUGAGCUUGGCUCAUCAAGUUUUUGAUAUAUUGGGGCAGAAGAGUUGCAUAAUAUGACAAAAUUGUAACCCUUUCUCUUAUUCUGCUCUCGUAAGAUAGAUAAAAAUCAUGAUCCUAAUCUAUGCUUCCUCCGUAUAUUUAAUUCAGUUGUCUUUGAAGGAACUAGUUUGUAUUACUCCCACAAUUUUGAAAGCUUAUAGUACUGGUAAUUGAAGACAUAUGUUUUCAAAUUAUUAAAAAAGGAUGUCAAAAAACACUCAUAAUGCUUCUAAAAAGGGGUAUUUCCAAAUGUGUGUAUGCAUAUGUGCUCUGGGGUCUUUUAAUUUAGUUUACAUAUUAGUGCUUGCAUUUGGCAAAAUAUGGACACCAAUGAAUAUCUUACAAACAUGGUAAUGGAUGGACCAAAAAGUAGGCCAGAAAAAAAUGAGUACUUAAUCCUUUGCUCAUAAAUUCAUCCUGAAACUAAAUUCUUUGAUAUUUGAUGAAGUCCAGAUACUUUUUAAAUUGAUUUAGUGUUCACAGGUUUUUUUGUUUAAUUUUUAAAAUUGAGGUAUACUUAACAUACCUUAAGUGUAUAGUUUAAAAGAUUUUGACUAUUGUACAUACCUGUGUAAUCACCAACCAAAUCAAUAUAUAGAACAUUGCAUCACCUGGAAAGCUCCCCUGUACCCCUUUCUAGUCAUUCUCCUGCCUUUUCAACACCAGGAAUAACAUAGAUUAGUCUUGCAUAUUCUUGGACUUCAUAUAAAUCGAAUUAUACAGUAUGUACUUUUUUGGGUUUGGCUUCUUUGACCCAACAUGAUUUUAAGAUUCAUCUGUAUUGUUGUGUGUAUCAGUUCAUUCCUUUUAAAUGCUGAGUAGUAUUCCAUCCUAUGCAUACACCACUACUUGUCUUUUUAUUCUCAGAGCUGGACAUUUGCCUUGUUUUUAGUUUGGGCUAUUAUAAAUAAGGGUGCUAAAACAUUUUUGUGAAAGUCAUUGUAUGGAUGUAUAUUUUUAUAUUUCUUGUGUAAACACCUAGGAGAGGGACUGCUGUGUCACAGGACUGUGUAAGAAAUUGUCAAACAGUUUUUCACAGGGUUGUAUGAUUUUACAAUCUUAACCAGCAAUGCAUGGAGUUCCAUUUAUUCCACAUCUUUGCCACUCGAGUGAGAUUGAAACAUUAUCACACUGUGGUUUUAUUUUCAUGUCUCUGAUUGCUAAUGAUUUUGAGGAACAUUUUGUAUGUUGAUUGGCCAUUUCUAUAUCUUCCCUUUUGAAGUGUUCCUUCAGUUCUUUUACCCAUUAAAACAUUUUUUGUCUUUA